AUACGUAGGUGGCAAGCGUUGUCCGGAAUUAUUGGGCGUAAAGCGCAUGUAGGCGGUUUGGUAAGUCGGUCGUGAAAAUGCGGUGCUUAACGCCGUAUGGCGAUUGAAACUGCUGAACUUGAGUGCAGGAGAGGAAAGGGGAACUCCCAGUGUAGCGGUGAAAUGCGUAGAUAUUGGGAAGAACACCGGUGGCGAAGGCGCCUUUCUGGACUGUGUCUGACGCUCAGAUGCGAAAGCCAGGGUAGCGAACGGGAUUGGAUACCCCGGUAGUCCUGGCCGUAAACGAUGGGUACUAGGUGUGGGAGGUAUCGACUCCUUCCGUGCCGGAGUUAACGCAAUAAGUACCCCGCCUGGGGAGUACGGCCGCAAGGCUUAAACUCAAAGGAAUUGACGGGG
rnacentral:rRNA from 1 species